AUUGAACGCUGGCGGCAGGCCUAACACAUGCAAGUCGAGCGGAUGAAGGGAGCUUGCUCUUGGAUUCAGCGGCGGACGGGUGAGUAAUGCCUAGGAAUCUGCCUGGUAGUGGGGGAUAACGUCCGGAAACGGGCGCUAAUACCGCAUACGUCCUGAGGGAGAAAGUGGGGGAUCUUCGGACCUCACGCUAUCAGAUGAGCCUAGGUCGGAUUAGCUAGUUGGUGGGGUAAAGGCCUACCAAGGCGACGAUCCGUAACUGGUCUGAGAGGAUGAUCAGUCACACUGGAACUGAGACACGGUCCAGACUCCUACGGGAGGCAGCAGUGGGGAAUAUUGGACAAAGGGCGAAAGCCUGAUCCAGCCAUGCCGCGUGUGUGAAGAAGGUCUUCGGAUUGUAAAGCUCUUUAAGUUGGGAGGAAGGGCAGUAAGUUAAUACCUGGCUGUUUUGACGGUACCAACAGAAUAAGCACCGGCUAACUUCGUG
rnacentral:rRNA from 1 species